CCCUAGUAUGAAAAAUUUUUUUAAUUAUUAUGUUUUGAAAUUUAAAGUUUUUGGCGGUUAAAUAUUAAUUAGAGGAGCUUGUCUAUUUUAGAAAUAACUCUUUAUAUUUUACUAGUUUUUGUUUAUUUAUCUCCGUUAUUAGAUUAGUUUUUUAUAAGAUUUUUCUUCUAUUUCAGGUCAAGAUGUAGCAAUAAUUAGAUGUGAUUAGCUACAGUUAUGUAGUAAUGGAGUUUUUACUUUAAUGUGAAGGUUAAAUUGAAUUUAGUUGUAAUUAAAUUUAGAAUAAUUUUGUGAAGUGUAGUAUUUAAUGUA
rnacentral:rRNA from 1 species